CAGACAAUAGCGUCUCCUGGCGUACUUGUCAUUAUGUUCCGUGGAAUAUCUGAUUUGGCUGGAGGGGAGCCAACAUGGUCAUCAAAAAGCCUGAUGAACCUCUCAUCUAUUAAUACACUCAAAGUGGCAGUGGAGUUCAUUGCUACAAUUGGCAGGCAUGAAUCAACGCCACCAGUACCAAAAGUUGUAAUAUCUGAACCACAGAUAGCUGCCAUAUCCAUCGCAUCUAAAGAAUAUAAAUAG
rnacentral:rRNA from 1 species